UGGGGAAUUUUGCACAAUGGGGGAAACCCUGAUGCAGCGACGCCGCGUGAUUUAGAAGGCCUUCGGGUUGUAAAAAUCUUUUUUACGGGAUGAAAAUGACAGUACCGUAAGAAUAAGGUCCGGCUAAAUACGUGCCAGCAGCCGCGGUAAUACGUAUGGACCGAGCGUUGUCCGGAAUCAUUGGGCGUAAAGGGUACGUAGGCGGCCUAGUAAGUUAGAAGUGAAAUAAUAUAGCUCAACUAUAUAAAGCUUUUAAAACUGCUAGGCUUGAGAGAUGGAAGGGAAAGUGGAAUUCCUAGUGUAGCGGUGAAAUGCGCAGAUAUUAGGAAGAAUACCGGUGGCGAAGGCGACUUUCUGGUCAUUAUCUGACGCUGAGGUACGAAAGCGUGGGUAGCAAACAGG
rnacentral:rRNA from 1 species